AGACCCGAAACCCGGUGAUCUAGCCAUGGGCAGGUUGAAGGUUGGGUAACACUAACUGGAGGACCGAACCGACUAAUGUUGAAAAAUUAGCGGAUGACCUGUGGCUGGGGGUGAAAGGCCAAUCAAACCGGGAGAUAGCUGGUUCUCCCCGAAAGCUAUUUAGGUAGCGCCUCGUGAAUUCAUCUCCGGGGGUAGAGCACUGUUUCGGCUAGGGGGCCAUCCCGGCUUACCAACCCGAUGCAAACUGCGAAUACCGGAGAAUGUUAUCACGGGAGACACACGGCGGGUGCUAACGUCCGUCGUGAAGAGGGAAACAACCCAGACCGCCAGCUAAGGUCCCAAAGUCAUGGUUAAGUGGGAAACGAUGUGGGAAGGCCCAGACAGCCAGGAUGUUGGCUUAGAAGCAGCCAUCAUUUAAAGAAAGCGUAAUAGCUCACUGGUCGAGUCGGCCUGCGCGGAAGAUGUAACGGGGCUAAACCAUGCACCGAAGCUGCGGCAGCGACACUGUGUGUUGUUGGGUAGGGGAGCGUUCUGUAAGCCUGUGAAGGUGUGUCGUGAGGCAUGCUGGAGGUAUCAGAAGUGCGAAUGCUGACAUAAGUAACGAUAAAGCGGGUGAAAAGCCCGCUCGCCGGAAGACCAAGGGUUCCUGUCCAACGUUAAUCGGGGCAGGGUGAGUCGACCCCUAAGGCGAGGCCGAAAGGCGUAGUCGAUGGGAAACGGGUUAAUAUUCCCGUACUUGGUGUUACUGCGAAGGGGGGACGGAGAAGGCUAUGUUGGCCGGGCGACGGUUGUCCCGGUUUAAGCGUGUAGGUGUGUGUUCCAGGUAAAUCCGGUUCACUUUAACACUGAGGCGUGACGACGAGGCACUACGGUGCUGAAGCAACAAAUGCCCUGCUUCCAGGAAAAGCCUCUAAGCAUCAGGUAACAUCAAAUCGUACCCCAAACCGACACAGGUGGUCAGGUAGAGAAUACCAAGGCGCUUGAGAGAACUCGGGUGAAGGAACUAGGCAAAAUGGUGCCGUAACUUCGGGAGAAGGCACGCUGACACGUAGGUGAAGUGAUUUACUCAUGGAGCUGAAGUCAGUCGAAGAUACCAGCUGGCUGCAACUGUUUAUUAAAAACACAGCACUGUGCAAACACGAAAGUGGACGUAUACGGUGUGACGCCUGCCCGGUGCCGGAAGGUUAAUUGAUGGGGUCAGCGCAAGCGAAGCUCCUGAUCGAAGCCCCGGUAAACGGCGGCCGUAACUAUAACGGUCCUAAGGUAGCGAAAUUCCUUGUCGGGUAAGUUCCGACCUGCACGAAUGGCGUAAUGAUGGCCAGGCUGUCUCCACCCGAGACUCAGUGAAAUUGAACUCGCUGUGAAGAUGCAGUGUACCCGCGGCAAGACGGAAAGACCCCGUGAACCUUUACUAUAGCUUGACACUGAACAUUGAGCCUUGAUGUGUAGGAUAGGUGGGAGGCUUU
rnacentral:rRNA from 1 species